UUCGUAUCAUACUCUCAGUUUGCAUACUGUUUUCUUCUAAACGUCGGUGUUCUUCGUUGAAUGCGGGACACGAAACUGCUACCUAAUUUACUCUUACUGCAGUCCAAUGUAGUUCACCUAGGCUUCCCGUAACUUAUUGUACUGUUUUAAGCGUGCCAUGGCCUCAGCAGAAAUCGGCAGGCAGAAGCGUUAAAAAUAAGAACAAUGACUAAAACAAAUUUUUGUAUUCUAUUCUACUUCAUUCUAUAUGAUUAAUGAAAACUGCACUGCGUGAGAAUAAAAUAUUAUUCAUUAACGGAAAUAGUUUGUGUCAAAAAAUGUGAUGCAAAAAAUUCAAUGUUUAAAAAGUCUGUCUACAGUCGGCGAAUUAAAGGUAAAGGCUAAGAAAUGGUAUUGAACAUUGAUGGAAUACUACCAGGUAAUAAUUUUAUCAAUGUAAUACAAAUUAAACAUUGAUAUUACGACAUUU